GUCCCCAUAGCUCAGCUGGAUAGAGCGGCUGCCUUCUAAGCAGUAGGUCGGAUGUUCGAAUCAUCCUGGGGACG
rnacentral:tRNA from 1 species